GAGCAGCAUAAAUAGGCUACACAGGAAGAAGCCCCUCCUCCGUUACACUUCAGUUCAGCUUGGUGUUCAGACAGUCAACAUGGAGGUCGGCACGCUCUGCAUCAAACUCUUGGUCCACGUGUUAUUCCUGCUGUGUGCACAUGUUCAGGACGUUGAUUCACUGAUUCUCCAUCUUGAACCAAACAGACUGCAGUUCUUUGAAUACGAGUCUCUGAUCUUCCAUUGUGAGGGCUCUCAUGAC